UCCACGCAUUGGUAAAAUAUCAUAUGAUGGUUGAUAUUAAAAAUAACAUUUGCAUAAAAUUUCUGCUAUCAAUCACUUUUUGUUUUGUUUUAUCUAAAAAGCAAUGUAUAUUUGCUAUACAAAGAUCAUUUCAUAUGCAAUUUGAUCAUCACACAUGUUCUAAAGUGCAGUACUCUAGUUGAUUUUCCACAUGGUUUCUGGUUUGUUGGUCCUUAUCUCGUUGGCG
rnacentral:lncRNA from 1 species